rnacentral:rRNA from 1 species
GUGAGGAAUAUUGGUCAAUGGGCGCAAGCCUGAACCAGCCAUGCCGCGUGCAGGAAGACGGUCCUAUGGAUUGUAAACUGCUUUUAUUUGGGAAUAAACUCCGGUACGUGUACCGGCCUGAAGGUACCAAAUGAAUAAGCACCGGCUAACUCCGUGCCAGCAGCCGCGGUAAUACGGAGGGUGCAAGCGUUAUCCGGAAUCAUUGGGUUUAAAGGGUCCGCAGGCGGUCUUAUAAGUCAGUGGUGAAAGCCUACAGCUCAACUGUAGAACUGCCAUUGAUACUGUAGGACUUGAAUUCGAUCGAAGUGGGCGGAAUGUGACAUGUAGCGGUGAUAUGCUUAGAUAUGUCACAGAACACCGAUAGCGAAGGCAGCUCACUAGGUCUGGAUUGACGCUCAGGGACGAAAGCGUGGGGAGCAAACAGGAUUAGAUACCCCAGUAGUCC